GACGAACGCUGGCGGCGUGCCUAAUACAUGCAAGUAGAACGCUGGAGGAGGAGCUUGCUUCUCUGGAUGAGUUGCGAACGGGUGAGUAACGCGUAGGUAACCUGCCUGGUAGCGGGGGAUAACUAUUGGAAACGAUAGCUAAUACCGCAUAAUAGUAGAUGUUGCAUGACAUUUGCUUAAAAGGUGCAAUUGCAUCACUACCAGAUGGACCUGCGUUGUAUUAGCUAGUUGGUGAGGUAACGGCUCACCAAGGCGACGAUACAUAGCCGACCUGAGAGGGUGAUCGGCCACACGGGGACUGAGACACGGCCCAGACUCCUACGGGAGGCAGCAGUAGGGAAUCUUCGGCAAUGGACGGAAGUCUGACCGAGCAACGCCGCGUGAGUGAAGAAGGUUUUCGGAUCGUAAAGCUCUGUUGUAAGAGAAGAACGAGUGUGAGAGUGGAAAGUUCACACUGUGACGGUAGCUUACCAGAAAGGGACGGCUAACUACGUG
rnacentral:rRNA from 1 species